rnacentral:rRNA from 1 species
AGGGUUUGAUCAUGGCUCAGAACGUACGCUGGCGGCACGCCUAAUACAUGCAAGUCGAACGAAGUAGCAAUACUUAGUGGCAGACGGGUGAGUAACAUGUAGGUAUCUUCCCAUUGGUGAGGAAUAACACGAGGAAACUUGUGCUAAUACCUCAUAAGUCUUUACGGAGAAAGCUUUACGCGCCGAUGGAUGAGCCUGCACUUGAUUAGUUUGUUGGUAGGGUAAUGGCCUACCAAGACAAUGAUCAAUAGCUGAUUUGAGAGGAUGAUCAGCCACAUUGGGACUGAGACACGGCCCAAACUCCUACGGGAGGCAGCAGUAGGGAAUCUUGCACAAUGGGGGAAACCCUGAUGCAGCGAUGCCGCGUGAGUGAAGAAGGCCUUUGGGUUGUAAAGCUCUUUCGUCGGGGAAGAAAAUGACUGUACCCGAAUAAGAAGGUCCGGCUAACUUCGUGCCAGCAGCCGCGGUAAUACGAAGGGACCUAGCGUAGUUCGGAAUUACUGGGCUUAAAGAGUUCGUAGGUGGUUAAAAAAGUUGGUGGUGAAAUCCCAGAGCUUAACUCUGGAACUGCCAUCAAAACUUUUUAGCUAGAGUAUGAUAGAGGAAAGCAGAAUUUCUAGUGUAGAGGUGAAAUUCGUAGAUAUUAGAAAGAAUACCAAUUGCGAAGGCAGCUUUCUGGAUCAUUACUGACACUGAGGAACGAAAGCAUGGGUAGCGAAGAGGAUUAGAUACCCUCGUAGUCCAUGCCGUAAACGAUGUGUGUUAGACGUUGGAAAUUUAUUUUCUGUGUCGCAGCGAAAGCAAUAAACACACCGCCUGGGGAGUACGACCGCAAGGUUAAAACUCAAAUGAAUUGACGGGGACCCGCACAAGUAGUGGAGCAUGUGGUUUAAUUCGAAGAUACGCGCAGAACCUUACCAACACUUGACAUGUUCGUCGCGACUUUAAGAGAUUAAAGUUUUCGGUUCGGCCGGACGAAACACAGGUGCUGCAUGGCUGUCGUCAGCUCGUGUCGUGAGAUGUUGGGUUAAGUCCCGCAACGAGCGCAACCCUCACUUUUAGUUGCCAUCAUUAAGUUGGGCACUCUGAAAGAACUGCCAGUGAUAAGCUGGAGGAAGGUGGGGAUGACGUCAAGUCCUCAUGGCCCUUACGUGUUGGGCUACACACGUGCUACAAUGGCAUUUACAAUAGGAAGCAAGACGGCGACGUUAAGCAAAUCCUAAAAAAAUGCCUCAGUUCGGAUUGUACUCUGCAACUCGAGUACAUGAAGCUGGAAUUACUAGUAAUCGCGGAUCAGCGCGCCGCGGUGAAUACGUUCCCGGGUCUUGUACACACCGCCCGUCACACCAUGGGAGUUGGUUCUACCUUAAGGCAAAGUUUAAUACCUUUGACCACGGUAUAGUCAGCGACUGGGGUGAAGUCGUAACAAGGUAACCGUA